UCAGGAAAUGAAGCGUUGAGUUAGAAUCUCUGACGAUCAUUUUGGAUCAAGGUGAAGCGGAAAGUAUAUUCUCAAAGAAACAGUGUCAUUUCUGGGAUAUUUACGCCUCGAAUUGAAAGACGUCCUAAGUGUAAGGUUGUUGCAAAUAUUCCUUUACGGUGUUAGUGGCACAGAAAGUUGCUGUUUGGAAAUUCAUAGUUAACACACAAAUUCUUAACUGUGCAGAACUGGGUUGUAACAGAUCAACCGCUACAGACCAAUGGGCAUCAGUAAUAUGCAAGCAGGUCAACAUACAGCAACCACUGCAGAAAUCAUCGGCUGCCGCACGUGUGCAGCAGCCAUGGCUCAGUUGCCUCGCUCGCCCUUUGCUGCGGAACACCGCACCGUCUCUGCCUCUCACCCGCCCGACGACACCUCAUCCGACUCUCACCUCAUUGCGGCACCGACAGCUGCAAUUCCAGCAGUAGUGCCUCGGCUUCCAAAUCAUUCCUAGUUCAACGCAUCUUUAUUAUCUAUCUGAGUCUCCACUACAUCGAUAGAUGGAAG